UAUAUACACGCUUAAUAAAACUUAUAAUUUUUAACCAGCUUUUUUACUUUCCCCCCUGAUAUUUAAAAAUCUAUACUUUGCCCCAUUGUAAAAAAAAAAAAUGUGCACUUCACCCCCCACCGUUAGGGUUCCGUUAUAAAAUAUUUUUUUUAUGCCGAAAAUAUCCCUCUGCCCUCUUACUUGUUGCUUCGCCUCCCUCUGGCUCGCCGCCUAGCCGCCUCGCCGCCGCCUCGCGGCCUCGACGUCCUUUACUGCCUCGCCCUCGCCUACAUCCCCUUCGUCCUCCUCCGCCGCCUCGCCUUCAUCCUCGUUGCCCUUGCCUACCCUCCAUCAACACUCAUCUCGAUUUCCUCUCUAUUAUCGUCGAAAUCGAGGGGCGGCGAGGGUGCAGAAGGAGAAGGGGAGUAGGUGGAGAAGGAAAUGGAGAGAAAUCGCGGCCGAUUAAGGUGAAAAUCACGGCGUUGAAGUGGGAAUCGUGGCCGAUCGAAGAGGCGGCUGAAGAAGAUUAGGAAGAAGACGAAAACGGCGAGGGGCAAAAUGACCAUUUUACAUACCGUAACUCUUCUGUGAAUAUUUUUCAUUUUACAAGGGGGCAAAGUGUAGGUUUUUAAAUGUCAAGAGGGAAAAGUAAAAAAACGAGUUAUUACAGGGAGAGUUUUCUAUAAUUUAGCCUUUUUAUACCAUUUUGAGUACUAUUGUAGGUUCUUGUGAUAUUAAUUAUCAUUAUGUAUUGUUAAUAAAUUGACGGUAUAAUGUGUAGAAUUUUGAUUAGUUGAUUGAU
rnacentral:lncRNA from 1 species